rnacentral:rRNA from 1 species
UACGUAGGCGGUUUAGUAAGUCAGAUGUGAAAGCCCCGGGCUUAACCUGGGAACUGCAUUUGAAACUGCUGAACUAGAGUGUGGUAGAGGGAAGUGGAAUUCAGGGUGUAGCGGUGAAAUGCGUAGAUAUCCUGAGGAACACCAGUGGCGAAGGCGACUUCCUGGACCAACACUGACGCUGAGGUACGAAAGCGUGGGUAGCAAACAGGAUUAGAUACCCUGGUAGUCC